UUGAAACCGAAAUUAAAAAGGAGAACGCCGUUCUGAGGGAAGCCUUACUGGACAAACAAACUAGAUCAAUGAGGGAGAAUAUGGUACUUACAUGUAUCCAGGAGAAAGAAGUAGAUGUUACUGAAUCUGUAGUUAGAGUUCCUCCUUACAGCGCUUCAGAUCCCACACGAAGUUACCGACAAAAUCCAACUUUUACGUGUACACCACUUCGGACAGAGAGGCCAAAGAUGCAGAUCAGGGACUUGGGUCCUCAUGGGACGGGCCAUCAGUACCUCAUGUGGACUGAGGCCAGUUAUCCGGACCAGGGUGGAACACAUUGAAGACAAGGCUAUGGGUAGCACAUCCACCCAGUCUUCCUCCUCUUCAUCUGAAGAGGAGAGGCGAGAUGGAUCGGAGGACCAAAAUGC